GACGAACGCUGGCGGCGUGCUUAACACAUGCAAGUCGAACGGAAAGGCCCUGCUUUUGUGGGGUGCUCGAGUGGCGAACGGGUGAGUAACACGUGAGUAACCUGCCCUUGACUUUGGGAUAACUUCAGGAAACUGGGGCUAAUACCGGAUAGGAGCUCCUGCUGCAUGGUGGGGGUUGGAAAGUUUCGGCGGUUGGGGAUGGACUCGCGGCUUAUCAGCUUGUUGGUGGGGUAGUGGCUUACCAAGGCUUUGACGGGUAGCCGGCCUGAGAGGGCGACCGGCCACAUUGGGACUGAGAUACGGCCCAGACUCCUACGGGAGGCAGCAGUGGGGAAUAUUGCACAAUGGGCGGAAGCCUGAUGCAGCAACGCCGCGUGCGGGAUGACGGCCUUCGGUUUGUAUACCGCUUUCGCCUGUGACGAAGCGUGAGUGACGGUAAUGGGUAAAGAAGCACCGGCUAACUACGUG
rnacentral:rRNA from 1 species